GCCUCGGUAGCUCAGUCAGUUAAGCAUCUGACUUCAGCUCAGGUCAUGAUCUUGCCGUUUGUGGGUUCAAGCCCCACACUGGGCU
rnacentral:tRNA from 1 species